rnacentral:rRNA from 1 species
CCUACGGGGGGCUGCAGUGGGGAAUUUUGGACAAUGGGGGAAACCCUGAUCCAGCAAUGCCGCGUGUGUGACGAAGGCCUUCGGGUUGUAAAGCACUUUUGGCGGGAACGAAACGGCGCUUUCUAAUACAGAGCGCUAAUGACGGUACCCGCAGAAUAAGCACCGGCUAACUACGUGCCAGCAGCCGCGGUAAUACGUAGGGUGCAAGCGUUAAUCGGAAUUACUGGGCGUAAAGCGUGCGCAGGCGGUUUCGUAAGACAGAUGUGAAAGCCCCGGGCUCAACCUGGGAAGUGCAUUUGUGACUGCGAGACUAGAGUGUGUCAGAGGGAGGUAGAAUUCCACGUGUAGCAGUGAAAUGCGUAGAGAUGUGGAGGAAUACCGAUGGCGAAGGCAGCCUCCUGGGAUAACACUGACGCUCAUGCACGAAAGCGUGGGGAGCAAACAGGAUUAGAUACCCCAGUAGUC